AGAAGAAAGAAGGAAAAAACGAUAGAAGUGGAUCUGCAGUACCCUUGUCAUGCCCUGAGACGCAGGGUCGUCAUUUCAGGUGGGAAACGCCUGUCCCUCAGGAAAAGAAGGCGAACUACUCCCUCUAUAGGCUUUCCCCUUUGUUGCUUUCAUGAGCCGGACAUCCAGGGGAUCAGAGCUGCAUGCAAACUUAAAAGGCUGGCAAGAACUCUGAAGGCCCUGCUGCCACAAUUGCACCAGCACUGCAGUUUAUGGCAUCAUUCCACACCAACAACAGUUGCAGAGCAGCAGGAGUGUGAAGAAUCAGCCAGAGGCAAGGCAGGGAUGGGAGGCAGAUGUUCGCAAGCUGGCCUUGCAAAUGAAGCCCCCUUUUGAAAACGUGCAGCUGCCAGUGUACCUUUGCUCUGGUACAGGUCAGAGGGAAUUCUCCUGCAGUGUCUGAAGUAACACAUUAGGGAAGAACUGACACAUGGGUGAGUUAUAUAUUAACCACUAGAGAUGACCUUUCAGAGAGUGACAGAGUAACAAUCUCGCUGAUAAAGGAAAUAGCAACUUUUUCAUUUUGCAGAGCAUGGGUAUUCUUCCCAGUAAAAGACUGCACAGCUCUUCCCACUAAAUGAUACCAUUUUCAGUUCUUCCAUACUUUCUGAAAUGGAAUAAAUUGUUCAGAUGUUUUCA
rnacentral:lncRNA from 14 species